rnacentral:lncRNA from 1 species
GAUCGACGACUUUAAGUACUUUAAUUAUCUAGUGUUUAUGGUGUGGUUUUCAGUUUAUGCAUGGAUGAUGUACUGCUGGCAUGCAAACAUCCUCCCACUGUUGUACUAGUAUGCAAUGUAAGGUGCACUUCUAUCAACAAAAAUGCACCGUUAAAUAAAAAAAUCCGUCUGUGUUUGAGUUUGUGUCCUUGUAAUAAUAUGUCAAAGGUGCACUUAUACAAACAAAAAUGCACCAUUAAAUAAAUAAAAACAGCUGUACGUGUUUGAGUUUGUAUCUGUGUAUUUUGUUUCUCUGUUACCUGCAAGCAACUAUCAA